rnacentral:lncRNA from 1 species
GGGGACGUACAAUAAUGUCAUGAACUGGUGAGUAAUUCCUUGAUUAAGCAAUACCACCUAGGGAUAGGGGUAGGACGAUCAAUUGUUUUUCACUUCUGCUCUAUAAUGCUUUAUUAAUUGCUAGGGGAGGCUAGGGAUAGCAAGCCANUANUUAGUAAUAGGCUCUUUUCNCCGAGGGAUCGGGUUAAGGGUAGGCUAAGAAAGUUGCAUAACAAUUAGUUAAUCAAGCAAAUAAAUCAAGAGGAGUAAAUAAGAGAGAGGGGAUAAGAUGAAAUUGUAAACCCCCAACAACUCCAUUCAUCCAUCGUUUUCUUCUCGUCAAUUGAAUCAAUCUCUUUUGCAUGUUUAUAUUUUGUUCUUAUACCCAAUUAAUUAAUUAUUAUUUUCAAGUCUUACGAUCUUAAUUCACACGAACGAUAAGGCCUUUCGAGUGUCUUGGGAAAACGAUACUGGGACUUACCAUUUAUUAUUACUUGAUACGAUUUGGUACGCUUGCCAAUCCGUUAACAGUUACAAGAGAGUCAAAAGUGGUUUUAGAGAUAUUAUGCUUGUUUUUACAUUGUUUUGACAGGAUUUGAUGAGAAUUGAAUGAUGGAAGUGAAGAAGGAAGGACUUAGACUCAAGAAAGGAUUAGAAAAGAUGCAAAGAAGGAGUCACCUCCACCGCUCAGCGCCAUUUCCAACACUGAGCGCUAGCCUCAUGAAGGAUGCCACUGUUUGACGGUUGAGCGGCGACGCUGAGGGGAGAAAAGAAGAAAGGCCCACUGCUGAGUGCCAAGAUUGACCGCUGAGCAUCCUGUGAUACUGAAGUCCACCACUGAGCGGUGAAAUGAGUGCUGAGCGCCUAAUUUAUGGGCCUGGGCCAAAAUUCUGUUAUUUUUCUGUAUCAUAAAUAGACCCAGAAUGCACCAGAGACGUAUCUUUUUUUGGCAGAGAGAGACUUCAGAGUACCUUCUACAC